rnacentral:rRNA from 1 species
UUGAACGCUGGCGGCAGGCCUCACACAUGCAAGUCGAGCGGAUGAAGGGAGCUUGCUCCUGGAUUCAGCGGCGGACGGGUGAGUAAUGCCUAGGAAUCUGCCUGGUAGUGGGGGAUAACGUCCGGAAACGGGCGCUAAUACCGCAUACGUCCUGAGGGAGAAAGUGGGGGAUCUUCGGACCUCACGCUAUCAGAUGAGCCUAGGUCGGAUUAGCUAGUUGGUGGGGUAAAGGCCUACCAGGCGACGAUCCGUAACUGGUCUGAGAGGAUGAUCAGUCACACUGGAACUGAGACACGGUCCAGACUCCUACGGGAGGCAGCAGUGGGGAAUAUUGGACAAUGGGCGAAAGCCUGAUCCAGCCAUGCCGCGUGUGUGAAGAAGGUCUUCGGAUUGUAAAGCACUUUAAGUUGGGAGGAAGGGCAGUAAGUUAAUACCUUGCUGUUUUGACGUUACCAACAGAAUAAGCACCGGCUAACUUCGUG